rnacentral:rRNA from 1 species
GAUGAACGCUGGCGGCGUGCCUAAUACAUGCAAGUCGAGCGAACAGACGAGGAGCUUGCUCCUUCGACGUUAGCGGCGGACGGGUGAGUAACACGUAGGUAACCUACCUAUAAGACUGGGAUAACUUCGGGAAACCGGAGCUAAUACCGGAUAAUAUUUCGAACCGCAUGGUUCGAUAGUGAAAGAUGGCUUUGCUAUCACUUAUAGAUGGACCUGCGCCGUAUUAGCUAGUUGGUAAGGUAACGGCUUACCAAGGCAACGAUACGUAGCCGACCUGAGAGGGUGAUCGGCCACACUGGAACUGAGACACGGUCCAGACUCCUACGGGAGGCAGCAGUAGGGAAUCUUCCGCAAUGGGCGAAAGCCUGACGGAGCAACGCCGCGUGAGUGAUGUAGGUCUUCGGAUCGUAAAACUCUGUUAUUAGGGAAGAACAAACGUGUAAGUAACUGUGCACGUCUUGACGGUACCUAAUCAGAAAGCCACGGCUAACUACGUG